rnacentral:tRNA from 1 species
GCCGGGGUGGCGGAAUGGUAGACGCAGUGGACUCAAAAUCCACCGGGGGCAACCUCAUGGGAGUUCGAGUCUCCCCCCCGGCACCA